GACGAACGCUGGCGGCGUGCCUAAUACAUGCAAGUAGAACGCUGAAGGAGGAGCUUGCUCUUCUGGAUGAGUUGCGAACGGGUGAGUAACGCGUAGGUAACCUGCCUGGUAGCGGGGGAUAACUAUUGGAAACGAUAGCUAAUACCGCAUAACAGUAGAUGUUGCAUGACAUUUGCUUAAAAGGUGCAAUUGCAUCACUACCAGAUGGACCUGCGUUGUAUUAGCUAGUUGGUGGGGUAACGGCUCACCAAGGCGACGAUACAUAGCCGACCUGAGAGGGGGAUCGGCCACACUGGGACGGAGACACGGCCCAGACGGCUACGGGAGGCAGCAGGAGGGAAACUUCGGGAAGGGACGGAAGUCUGACCGAGAAACGCCGCGGGAGGGAAGAAGGUUGUCGGAUCGUAAAGCUCGGUUGUAAGAGAAGAAAGAGUGUGAGAGUGGAAAGUUCACACUGUGACGGUAACUUACCAGAAAGGGACGGCUAACUACGUG
rnacentral:rRNA from 1 species